GUGGGGAAUAUUGGACAAUGGGGGGAACCCUGAUCCAGCCAUGCCGCGUGUGUGAAGAAGGCCUUUUGGUUGUAAAGCACUUUAAGCGAGGAGGAGGCUACCGAGAUUAAUACUCUUGGAUAGUGGACGUUACUCGCAGAAUAAGCACCGGCUAACUCUGUGCCAGCAGCCGCGGUAAUACAGAGGGUGCAAGCGUUAAUCGGAUUUACUGGGCGUAAAGCGCGCGUAGGUGGCCAAUUAAGUCAAAUGUGAAAUCCCCGAGCUUAACUUGGGAAUUGCAUUCGAUACUGGUUGGGUAGAGUAUGGGAGAGGAUGGUAGAAUUCCAGGUGUAGCGGUGAAAUGCGUAGAGAUCUGGAGGAAUACCGAUGGCGAAGGCAGCCAUCUGGCCUAAUACUGACACUGAGGUGCGAAAGCAUGGGGAGCAAACAGGAUUAGAUACCCGUGUAGUCC
rnacentral:rRNA from 1 species